rnacentral:rRNA from 1 species
GUACACUCCUGCGGGAGGCAGCAGUGGGGAAUAUUGGACAAUGGGCGCAAGCCUGAUCCAGCCAUGCCGCGUGAGUGAUGAAGGCCCUAGGGUUGUAAAGCUCUUUCACCGGUGAAGAUAAUGACGGUAACCGGAGAAGAAGCCCCGGCUAACUUCGUGCCAGCAGCCGCGGUAAUACGAAGGGGGCUAGCGUUGUUCGGAUUUGCUGGGCGUAAAGCGCACGUAGGCGGACUAUUAAGUCAGGGGUGAAAUCCCGGGGCUCAACCCCGGAACUGCCUUUGAUACUGGUAGUCUUGAGUUCGAGAGAGGUGAGUGGAAUUCCGAGUGUAGAGGUGAAAUUCGUAGAUAUUCGGAGGAACACCAGUGGCGAAGGCGGCUCACUGGCUCGAUACUGACGCUGAGGUGCGAAAGCGUGGGGAGCAAACAGGAUUAGAAACCCCAGUAGUCCCAUGA